rnacentral:piRNA from 1 species
AGGCAGCUAGAGGAAUGGGAAUUCUU